UCAGUAAUUAAGUCAGUGAGUAAGUCAGUAAAUUAGUAAAUCAGUAAUUAAGUCAGUGAGUAAGUCAGUAAAUUAGUAAAUCAGUAAUUAAGUCAGUGAGUAAGUCAGUGAGUAAGUCGGUAAAUUAGUAAGUCAGUAAUUAGGUCAGUAAUUAAGUCAGUAGUUAAGUCAGUAGGUAAGUCAGUGAGUAAGUCGGUAAAUUAUUAUGUCAGUAAUAAAGUCAGUAAGUCAGUAAUCAAGUCAGUGAGUAAGUCAGUAAAUUAGUCAGUAAUUAAGUCAGUAAGUCAGUAAAUUAGUUAGUCAGUAAUUAAGUCAGUGAGUAAGUCAGUGAGUAAGUCAGUAAAUUAGUAAGUCAGUAAUUAGUCAGUAAUUAAGUCAGUAAGUCAGUAAAUUAGUUAGUCAGUAAUUAAGUCAGUAAGAAGGUCAGUGGAUAAGUCAGUAAAUUAGUAAGUCGGUAAUUAAGUCAGUAAUCAAGUCAGUAAGUAAGUCAGUAAUCAAGUCAGUGAGUAAGUCAGUAAUUUAGUUAGUCAGUAAUUAAGUCAGUAAGUUAGUAAGUCAGUAUUUAAUUCCGUAAGUGAGUCAGUAAGUUAUUAAAGAGUAAGGCAGCACAUGAGUCAUUAAUUCAUUAAGUGAGUAAGUUGCUAAGUUAGUGAGUUAUUAAGUCUGUAAAUUAUUAAGUCAGUAAUUAAUUCAGUGAGUCAUUACAUUAUUAAAUAAGUGAGACGGUUAGUAAGUUGGUAAGUCAGGAAGUAAGUGAGUAAUUCAGUCAGUAAGUGAGUCAGUUAGCUAUUAAGUCAGUGAUUAUGUCGGUAAGUCAGUAAUUUAGUAAAUCAGUAAAUUAGUACAUCAGUGAGUAAGUCAGGAAGUAAGUGAGUAAGUGCUAAGUUAGUAAGUCAGUAUGUUAAUAAGUAACGUUAAUAAGUAUGUUCUUAAUGAGUUAGUUAACGUUAAUGAGUAAGUCAGUAAGUGAGUAAGUACUAAGUUAGUAAGUCAGUAAGUUAAGUCAGUUAUUAAAUGAGUCAGUAAGUGAGUAAGUGAGUGAGUCAGUCAGUCAUUAAAGCAGUCAGCUUUAGUAAGCUGCCA
ensembl:lncRNA